rnacentral:misc_RNA from 1 species
AAAUGCGAUAAGUAAUGUGAAUUGCAGAAUUCAGUGAAUCAUCGAAUCUUUGAACGCACCUUGCGCUCCUUGGUAUUCCUUGGAGCAUGCCUGUUUGAGCAUCAUGAAAUCUUCAAAGUAAAUCUUUUGUUAACUCAAUUGGUUUCUACUUUGGUAUUGGAGGUCUUUGCAGCUUCACACCUGCUCCUCUUUGUUCAUUAGCUGGAUCUCAGUGUUAUGCUUGGUUCCACUCGGCGUGAUAAGUUAUCUAUCGCUGAGGACACUGUAAAAGGUGGCCAAGGUAAAUGCAGAUGAACCGCUUCUAAUAGUCCAUUGACUUGGACAAUACUUUUAUGAUCUGAUCUCAAAUCAGGUAGGACUACCCGCUGAACUUAAGC